UGGUCCCACAGGCAAUGUUCCUCUUCUGAGACCCCUCCUAUCUAUCUGCCUAACCAGCCUCUACCUGCCUCCUCUCUCAUUCCAGUGGUGACCCUAAUUGCCAUUAGAGGGAGAGGGUAGAUGACCGCUCAGGCUUCUUCAAGCUGUGAGAGGGCAUUGUUACUGUGGCAGUAAGGGAUCCUCCAGAGGAUGGUCUAAUGGGCCUGAGAGGAAGGGUUCUUUCACACAGGGUUCCAUCUGCAUCAUGAUCUGGAGUUUGAUGGCCUCUAUGCAAGAAGAAACAAAUUUGGCUAAAAGAUGUAACACACAUGGUCCAAAAACCAGGAUAUUUCAUGAAGAAUAUACAGCAGAUAAUUCAUUCUGUUAAGGAGAUUAGCAGAUAUAUCCACUUCCUAAGGUAGCUGUGUAAGAGCAUCAUCCAGUGUUCAGAUCGUGCAGACUCCUGAAGUGCUGAUAUCCUAUGCUAAACGAGACCUCUGCAGACUUGAGAAUACGACACGGAGACAGAAGAAAAACAGAAUCAGAAGCAAAGCUGGAUAAUGAAUGGAAAUAGAAGUGGACAGAAGUGGAGAAAGAUGAGAUAGAUCACCAGAGAAAAGAGCAGAGGAUACAGACUUCUGAGGUAUAACCAAGACAACCAGAUCACAUGAGCUUCUGUAACUUUCCACAACUGCUUUUGUUGUAUCUUCUUAUCCAAGGAUUCAUCUACUGUUUCAUUACUUUAUUGGAACUUUGUGUUCCCCCCAAAUGAAUGUGUUUGCUUCCUCAGAUUCAAGCAUAUCGCCUUACGAUGUUCCCCCUUACCAGAGUAUAAGCUGUUACUAAGUUUUAUAAGAGCAGAGACCAAGGCUGUAUCUGUUUUAUUCUGCACCAUGUAUUCAGUUUGGCACAGAACCUGGCUCAUAGUUGGCUGAAAUACAUGACAAUGAAUGAAGGAGUGAAAUUAAAAUAACAGACAUAGUAAAUUACAUUUACACAAAGAAAUAUUUUGAUAAAUUAUCAGUCCAAUCUCAUUUUGACUCCAUGCAGACACACACACACACACACACACACACACACACACACACCUAUUUUUCCCUUUAUUUUAAAAAAUUCUAAAUGAGAGAAGUGAUUCUGAUAGUCGACUAGGGAACAAAAGACACAUUUACUUAUUCAGAUUCGUG
rnacentral:lncRNA from 1 species